UUUCUAAAUGAUGGACAAUGCCAAUGCA
rnacentral:piRNA from 1 species